rnacentral:piRNA from 1 species
UGCAGGAAUUCUGAUCCCUUGCCACAUGUGU